rnacentral:rRNA from 1 species
CACCGGCGAACGGCUUAGUAACACGUAGAUACAUACCCAAAAGUGGGGCAUAGCUCGUCGAAAGACGGGGUAAUUUCCCAUAGUCCUGCAAAGGUAAAGGCGCAAGCCGCUUUUGGAAUGGUCUGCGGUCUAUCAGCUAGUUGGUGAGGUAAUGGCUCACCAAGGCUAUGACGGAUAGGGGGCGUGAGAGCGCGAC